UGUUAUGAUCGGAUUGUACAAAAAAUUACUCUAUACUAUCUCAUAACUUUGAUCGACGUAGUCGUGAAAAGAUCGUAUAUUGGUUUACAUAAGUUUGAAAUUAAAUAAAAUUUACAGUGUUGAUUGAAUUAAUCUGUACGGUUGUCCGUAUAAAGAGUUUUUAUUCAGUGAUUAUUAUUUUUAACGUAUCGACAAAAUUCGUGUUACAAAUAAUAAAUAAUUAUGCCCGUUACACCGGAAUCACUGCGUAAUAUUUCAACUGGUUUAAUUUUGUUGUGCAUCAUUGGUACGAUAUUGUCGUAUUAUGCUUAUAUUGUGGAAACAACAAAAGAAAAUAAUGAUUCUUAUGAAGCAUUAUGCGACAUUAAUGAGCAUAUAAGUUGUACCAGAGUAUUGACGUCCGAAUAUGGUAAAGGAUUUGGAUUGAUACCAAAUAAUUCUGUAUUAUACUUUCCAAACAGUUUAUAUGGUUUAGGAUUUUAUCUUUUAAUAACCGGAUUGAGUAUAUUGAACGAUCACUCCAGUGUCUUCACAAUAAUAUUCUUAGGAAUUUUAUCAAACAUUGCUUCCAUUUAUCUAGCUUAUAUUUUAUACUUAUUAAGAGAUAUCUGUAUUAUUUGCAUAAGCAGUUAUAUCAUUAAUGCUCUUAUCUUAAUACUGGCAUUUAAAAAGUUACGACUAUUAUCAGAAAUCAAAAAGACCAAGCAAAAGAAACUAUGUAAUUGUAUGUAAUUGUCGGACAAAGAAAAAAGAAAAAGAAAAAAAGAAAAAAAAAAAAAAAAAAAAAAAAGAAAAAGAAAUAAACAUUAUAAUGUUAAAAAUAAUCGAACCUUGGGAGCUUUUCAUUUCAUAUUCUUUUCUUUUUCUUUUUCAAUUUUAUAACAAUCAUCGAUAGAUCUUGAACGAAGUGAAUAAUAAAUAUACAAGAUUGUAUCGUCAUAAAGUGAAUAAAGAAACAAUAUUCUAAUAUUAAAAAUGAUCUGAAGAAAAGAAAUCAAUGGAAAUUGGAUUGUAAAUUGGAUCAAAUCCACACAGAUAUAAAUAUAUAUAUAUAUUUCCUUACUCUCUUUUGCUAUCCUUAAACAGAUCCCUAUUACUACGACUGAUACUGGCAAGAAUACCAGGACUCUUUAACGGUGGUGUUUCGUCCAAACGAUUCAAUUGCAAACUUGAUUUGUAAGGUUUAGCAGGUGCCUGAUGAAUAUUAGCGUAUGGUUGAUGUGACUUGGACGCUGACGUAACAGCAUUUUUAAUUGAUAUAUUGAUCAUGCUACCAUAUUGUCUGGAUGGUGUUAUCCCGUUUGAAUUUGAUACAAUCGAUUGUACUUGUUGUCUUGUUGAAGAGGAUGAUGGUUGAUAAUUAGUUGCUUUACCCUCGGACCUCAUAUUCCUUGGUAAUGUUUGUACGUUCCUGAAUUGAUCAUCCGUCUCGUAUAAGUUUGUCAAUCGACUGGUUGAUUUGCUAAACCUGCCAAGUGAGUUGGUUGCGACACUGAAACGUGCCGAAGUCGAGAGACGUCAUUCGUCGUAAAAAAAAAAAAAAAAAAAAAAAAAAAAAGAGAGAAAGAAAAAAAAUAAAUAAAAAA